rnacentral:rRNA from 5 species
GGUUAAGCGACUAAGCGUACACGGUGGAUGCCCUGGCAGUCAGAGGCGAUGAAGGGCGUGCUAAUCUGCGAUAAGCGCCGGUAAGGUGAUAUGAACCGUUAUAACCGGCGAUACCCGAAUGGGGAAACCCAGUGUGAUUCGUCACACUAUCAUUAACUGAAUCCAUAGGUUAAUGAGGCGAACCGGGGGAACUGAAACAUCUAAGUACCCCGAGGAAAAGAAAUCAACCGAGAUUCCCCCAGUAGCGGCGAGCGAACGGGGAGGAGCCCAGAGCCUGAAUCAGCAUGUGUGUUAGUGGAAGCGUCUGGAAAGGCGCGCGAUACAGGGUGACAGCCCCGUACACAAAAGCGCAUGUGCUGUGAGCUCGAUGAGUAGGGCGGGACACGUGGUAUCCUGUCUGAAUAUGGGGGGACCAUCCUCCAAGGCUAAAUACUCCUGACUGACCGAUAGUGAACCAGUACCGUGAGGGAAAGGCGAAAAGAACCCCGGCGAGGGGAGUGAAAAAGAACCUGAAACCGUGUACGUACAAGCAGUGGGAGCACAGGUUUACCUGUGUGACUGCGUACCUUUUGUAUAAUGGGUCAGCGACUUAUAUUCUGUAGCAAGGUUAACCGAAUAGGGGAGCCGGAGGGAAACCGAGUCUUAAUUGGGCGUUAAGUUGCAGGGUAUAGACCCGAAACCCGGUGAUCUAGCCAUGGGCAGGUUGAAGGUUGGGUAACACUAACUGGAGGACCGAACCGACUAAUGUUGAAAAAUUAGCGGAUGACCUGUGGCUGGGGGUGAAAGGCCAAUCAAACCGGGAGAUAGCUGGUUCUCCCCGAAAGCUAUUUAGGUAGCGCCUCGUGAAUUCAUCUCCGGGGGUAGAGCACUGUUUCGGCUAGGGGGCCAUCCCGGCUUACCAACCCGAUGCAAACUGCGAAUACCGGAGAAUGUUAUCACGGGAGACACACGGCGGGUGCUAACGUCCGUCGUGAAGAGGGAAACAACCCAGACCGCCAGCUAAGGUCCCAAAGUCAUGGUUAAGUGGGAAACGAUGUGGGAAGGCCCAGACAGCCAGGAUGUUGGCUUAGAAGCAGCCAUCAUUUAAAGAAAGCGUAAUAGCUCACUGGUCGAGUCGGCCUGCGCGGAAGAUGUAACGGGGCUAAACCAUGCACCGAAGCUGCGGCAGCGAACGUAUCACCCAAGACAACUUUACGGAGUUGACGAUUGACGGAGCGAAGCGACGUCAAAGCGUUCAUUAAAGUCGAGUUGGCUUAGGGAUACGUUCGUUGGGUAGGGGAGCGUUCUGUAAGCCUGUGAAGGUGUGUCGUGAGGCAUGCUGGAGGUAUCAGAAGUGCGAAUGCUGACAUAAGUAACGAUAAAGCGGGUGAAAAGCCCGCUCGCCGGAAGACCAAGGGUUCCUGUCCAACGUUAAUCGGGGCAGGGUGAGUCGACCCCUAAGGCGAGGCCGAAAGGCGUAGUCGAUGGGAAACGGGUUAAUAUUCCCGUACUUGGUGUUACUGCGAAGGGGGGACGGAGAAGGCUAUGUUGGCCGGGCGACGGUUGUCCCGGUUUAAGCGUGUAGGUGUGUGUUCCAGGUAAAUCCGGUUCACUUUAACACUGAGGCGUGACGACGAGGCACUACGGUGCUGAAGCAACAAAUGCCCUGCUUCCAGGAAAAGCCUCUAAGCAUCAGGUAACACGAAAUCGUACCCCAAACCGACACAGGUGGUCAGGUAGAGAAUACCAAGGCGCUUGAGAGAACUCGGGUGAAGGAACUAGGCAAAAUGGUGCCGUAACUUCGGGAGAAGGCACGCUGACACGUAGGUGAAGUGAUUUACUCAUGGAGCUGAAGUCAGUCGAAGAUACCAGCUGGCUGCAACUGUUUAUUAAAAACACAGCACUGUGCAAACACGAAAGUGGACGUAUACGGUGUGACGCCUGCCCGGUGCCGGAAGGUUAAUUGAUGGGGUCAGCGCAAGCGAAGCUCCUGAUCGAAGCCCCGGUAAACGGCGGCCGUAACUAUAACGGUCCUAAGGUAGCGAAAUUCCUUGUCGGGUAAGUUCCGACCUGCACGAAUGGCGUAAUGAUGGCCAGGCUGUCUCCACCCGAGACUCAGUGAAAUUGAACUCGCUGUGAAGAUGCAGUGUACCCGCGGCAAGACGGAAAGACCCCGUGAACCUUUACUAUAGCUUGACACUGAACAUUGAGCCUUGAUGUGUAGGAUAGGUGGGAGGCUUUGAAGUGUGGACGCCAGUCUGCAUGGAGCCGACCUUGAAAUACCACCCUUUAAUGUUUGAUGUUCUAACGUGGACCCGUAAUCCGGGUUGCGGACAGUGUCUGGUGGGUAGUUUGACUGGGGCGGUCUCCUCCUAAAGAGUAACGGAGGAGCACGAAGGUUGGCUAAUCCUGGUCGGACAUCAGGAGGUUAGUGCAAUGGCAUAAGCCAGCUUGACUGCGAGCGUGACGGCGCGAGCAGGUGCGAAAGCAGGUCAUAGUGAUCCGGUGGUUCUGAAUGGAAGGGCCAUCGCUCAACGGAUAAAAGGUACUCCGGGGAUAACAGGCUGAUACCGCCCAAGAGUUCAUAUCGACGGCGGUGUUUGGCACCUCGAUGUCGGCUCAUCACAUCCUGGGGCUGAAGUAGGUCCCAAGGGUAUGGCUGUUCGCCAUUUAAAGUGGUACGCGAGCUGGGUUUAGAACGUCGUGAGACAGUUCGGUCCCUAUCUGCCGUGGGCGCUGGAGAACUGAGGGGGGCUGCUCCUAGUACGAGAGGACCGGAGUGGACGCAUCACUGGUGUUCGGGUUGUCAUGCCAAUGGCACUGCCCGGUAGCUAAAUGCGGAAGAGAUAAGUGCUGAAAGCAUCUAAGCACGAAACUUGCCCCGAGAUGAGUUCUCCCUGAGACUUAGAGUCUCCUGAAGGAACGUUGAAGACGACGACGUUGAUAGGCCGGGUGUGUAAGCGCAGCGAUGCGUUGAGCUAACCGGUACUAAUGAACCGUGAGGCUUAACCUU